rnacentral:rRNA from 1 species
UACGUAGGGCGCAAGCGUUAUCCGGAAUUAUUGGGCGUAAAGAGCUCGUAGGCGGUUUGUCGCGUCUGCCGUGAAAGCCCGGGGCUCAACUCCGGAUCCGGUUCCCAAACUGCUAGACUUGAGCGUAUCAGAGGACAGCGGAAUUCCCGGUGUAGCGGUAAUAUGCGUAGAUAUCGGGAGGAACACCAGUGGCGAAGGCGGCUGUCUGGGGUAUUGCUGACGCUGAGGCACGAAAGCCAGGGGAGCGAACGGG